rnacentral:lncRNA from 1 species
AUGGCAAGGGUCCUGAGCAAGGGGGCCCAGCGUGCGAGUUUGGGCACCACCCCAACACGUCUGGUCCACAGGGAAAUCAUCGCCUUACCUAGGUACUCGGCUCGCUUUGACUUCCGGAGUGACAGUGACAGGAGGGGGAGGCUCAGUGGGAAGCGAGGCCUCUCUCCUUGGCUCAGCGAUCUUGGAAUCCUCGUGGGGGCCGCCAUGACCGCGCCUGAACAUCCGGGUCCUGUGCAGCUGGCUAGUCUGCAGACUGGAUCGGCUGCCUCUCAUCCGUCUUGCAAGUCACUUGUGUCGGACCCAAUUCAGCAGGACACAGCCGACUUUGUCACCCCUAAUCCUAGAAUGACUCAGCCCUUCAAGUUGCAAAAGGCGGAAACGUUCACUUCGCUCCAGCCACCUCCCUUUCUCAGGAAACCACAGGUUUGACAGCG